AAAUAAUAAAGCAUUAAACAAUGUAUGAGUGUAAGUGCAAAGGAACCGGCUCAUUGUAAGAAAGCCCAAGAGUAAGCUAUGUGAGGUCGAUGGCGAUGCUUAAAAAGCAAUCGACUUACAAGGGUGUAAAAAAUGGGCUCGAUAUUAAAUCGAGAAGAACAUGAUUUUUAUAGUUUUUUUAAAAAAAGGUUUUGAACUAAAUUAAAAUACAAUAACUUUACAUUAUUAACAAAAUGAACAUAUGAGUGUAAUAAAGGCAUAAACAUAAAAAGAAAUGAAAAUGCUAAAAGAAAUAAAAUGCCAAAAAAUGCCACACAUGAGUAUUGAACCCACCCCACUCAAGAAUAUGAACACUGCCCUUCUCCACUAAACCACUCAUCAUUAUCUGCUACUGAGAUACUACAUUAAAUAUAUGAACCGGGCUAAAAAACAAAAAAAUAAAUAACAUAUAAACAUUUUUAUGUUUUUUAUCUCUGUUAAAAAACAAAUUAAAUUAAAUAAUAAAAAAAAAUUAAAAAGAAGGAAAACAAGAAAAUGGAAAUGAAAAAAAAAACACAGAGGUUCGUCUUCCUCACUCUCUCUCACAUUCUCACCAGAAAAACCAUUCAAUCGCUCUCUCGCCCAUGUCGCUCAACCUCAUCUCUCAAUCUCCAUUAUUCAAACGCUCCUCACCUCACGUUUCUUUCAAUCUCUCAAUGAAUCUCUCUCGCACUCGACCUUAAGCUCAGCGAAUCAAUCUCUCUCAACUCUCACAACAUUUU
rnacentral:lncRNA from 1 species